rnacentral:lncRNA from 1 species
AUCCAGGCUCUCCCUGCAGUUUCUACCCCUGCCAGCAUCCCCUUUCCCAUGCAGUUCUACUUCCCUAGCUUUGAUUUAUUUUUUUUAAAUUUUUUUUUUGAGAUCCAGUAUUUUUUUGGAUGGGAGCCCUGGGUUUCCCUCCUUGUGGCAGAGACAGGGAAGGACGGAUGAAGCAGGGGGGAGCUCACUGGCUUUUGUCUGCCAGCAAGCUGGGAGGCUCCGCUGGUUAUAAAAGGCCCUCGUUAAGUAAUCACGUUUCUCUUGCAUAAGGGCUUGUUUUUGGGAGGUGUUAGCCAAUGGGAGGCUGCAGCUCGCGGGCGGAAAGCAUGUCUAACUCCUGUGACUUUUUUUUUUUUUUUUAAAUAAUGCCUGAUUAUUAAUCUGCUGGAAGUUGUGUAAAACUGUCUCUUUUGAUAAGGGUGAGCGGCGGAGACUCCCCGGCGCUGGUGGUAGCUGGGCCACAGCUGUAAAAAAAAAAAAAGCCUGCGUGGAUUGUUGGUAAAAUGGAUGCCAUAUACAAGCUGAAAAUUUUUGUGAUGUUUCUGUCUCUGGCUACUUUCACAGUCAUGGUGAUACUGAAUGCUGGAAACGCCACUGGGAUAUUCAAAGGUCUGUUCAGGACAACCCCUGGAAACAUCUCGGCAAAGUACAACACUGACUUCACACCAGCUGGCUGGACUUUCCUCAUCUGGAAUGUCAUCUAUGCCUGGCAGCUGGCCUGGCUUCUCUAUGCCUUGUCAGGGAUCUGUCGAAGGAAUGAACUUGGAUGUGUCUACAUAAAGCCAGACUUGCUGCCAAUACCUUUCUAUGUGAUGUGGAUUCUGAAUAAUGGCCUCAAUGUUGGAUGGCUGUUUCUGUGGGACCGAGAAUACCUUCUCCCAGCCCUGGUGUUCCUGGCAGCCCUGACUUUUACCACGUGUGCCGCCCUCUUCAUCUCGCACCGAGCGCUGAGCAUCCAUUCCUCGUGGUUUGUGAAGGGUCACAAAGCUGAGCUCUGGCUCAUCCGCAUCCUAGUUCAGAACGGGCUGGCGCUGUACGCAACGUGGACCACCAUCGCCACUCUGCUCAACUUUGCCAUUGUCUUAAUCUACAAGUGGAAUGUGUCCAACGAGAUGGCGACAACUGUUUCUCUAAGCAUCCUUGCUCUUAUCCUAGUAAUAUGGUUUUGUCUAGAAAACUUCUUUCUUGACAAGUAUGUUCGCUAUAACCUUACAAUCUACCCAGUGGUCAUAAUAGCUCUGACUGGCAGCACAUGCAAGAACGUCUCGUUUUCAUCCCCAACGACGAACGACAUUUUUAUAGUUUUUCUGCUGGGGACAACGUGCUUGAUCUUUGCUGUGCGGCUGGGACUAGUGACGUGGAGACACUGUAAGAGACCACUGGAAGCAUCGGAAACCCCAGACCCAUCAGGCACAGUGGCCUGAGACCUCUGAUCAGCUUCUCACUGCCAGCCCCACCUUGAACCCGCGCCCUCCUUCAUUUGGUUUGACUCUGGAUCAGCGCAGGGAAAAAGUCCUUUUCAGCUGAACAGCCCGAUGAUCACCUUUUGUGAUGACUGAGCUCUGCCCGUCCGCUCCUGGGCUGCCACCAGGCACUUGACAGGCUUGCACAGACAGUUGCCCACAUUCUUUUCCUUGGUAGCUUGUUUUUCUUGAAAUGCAGCUCUAAGCAGUCUGUCCCUGGGAGCAGAGGUGGGCAGCAGGAGGUCUGUUGUUCCUUUGGCCAUUCCCAGCUGGCUAUCUGCAAGCCCUGGUGGUGUGAGCAGCUCCCCAGGCAGCAAUUCCUCCUUUCCCUGCUUCUCUCCAUCAUGAUGGGAACAGAUCUCACAGCUCCAGAGAUCUGCCUUUGCAGUGUCAGCUCCAAGGAGGGGAGGAGGAAUGACUGAAUACUAAUCACACAAUUGCAAGCCUUCAAUCUACUGGAAGUAGGUCUAGAAACUGAAGAUGUGUUCACUUUUCAGAAGCCAGUAAGGUUUCUGGGCCUCUGCCCUGGUUGGUUGGUUUUUUCCUGACUUUCUCAGUUAAGUUAAUUGCUGGCCACAUGCCUCCUGCCAGAGGAUGGGUUGUAGCCACUCUGGCAGGAGGUUAGACAUACAGGUGAGGUGACACCUGGUCUGGGGUAAAGCCUGCUGCUUCAAAGGAUGCCUGUUUAAGGAAGGAAAAAAAAAAUUAUUUGAACCAGUAGAGUGAGUUCAUCCUGGAUCAGUGCUUUCUCAUAUGGCUUCACUAUUACUAUAAGGAAGCACAAAAGUGGAUUGACUGAGCUGUCAGACCGCUGCCUCCAUCACCUGUGUCUGCUCAAGGGCUGAUGGUGCCUCACUGGUGUCUGGAAAGAGCUCCUGCAUGGCAGGCACUUUCAAAUGCUGAAAAUCUUGCAAUAUUAUUACAAAGGUGAAUUAUUCUAAAAUAAAGUGUGCCGUUGUUUACA